GGUAGCACACUUAGGGUGUCUGCCGCGUGCAACCGUGGUCUCUGCCCGCGCGUGUACAACCCGCGUACAUGUAGGAUCGCGAGGGUAUGUUGUGUACGUACGUCGGUUACGUAGCUACUUACGGUAGCUUCCGUGAUACAUGGAGGUCGCACCUAAAUUUCCCCUGGGAGUCAUACGUCUCUUCGGCCUCUCGGCAACCCUCUCUAUUUUCCUGUGUUUCUAGCCUCCUCUUUUUCUCUCCCGCUCGAUCUUUGUGACCAUUUUCUCUUCCUCUUUUUGCAUCUUUCCUCCUCCAACAGCGAUCUUGCCUUUCGUUUUUCCCCUUCUCUCUCUUGAGCGCAUAGCUCUCGAACGUUUACCGAGAACCAAAGAUCAAACGUUGGGCCUGGUUGUGGAGAAAAAAAGCGCUUUCUUGGUUCGCGACCGGCGGUAUGCAUUAAAAUAAUUGAACGGGAACAGAUUCCGUCUGGGUGUCGUUACGAUUCCUCUCUACUUCGUAUUUCAAUUUCUUUGCUCUCGUCUGCCAAAUCCGCAGAUACGACGCGAUUUCAUUACAAGCGAUCGUUACAAGAUUUCCUCUUUGAUUUUCCGUCCAUUUUCGCAACAAGAUGGAAGAUUUGCAAUUACAAGAGUAGUAAAAGUAAAAUUGUGAGUAAAUUGAUAAUUCGAUCGAUGCCUAUUUCAACACAUUCGCGGGUAAUUUUACAAAAAUGUUUCAAUCGGAAGCCACGAGCUCCAGUAAUUAAGACAACGACAUAAAUAUACAUACAAAUAUUAUCUUUGGAGUUACUAAUAAUGUAAUUGUUCUACGAGAUUACGCUUGAACCACGAAAAAAUAUAUUAGUCGGUUUCCAUUAACGCGUUAGUCUGAUUUUCGACGGCUUUGCACAAUUGCACUUAGAUCAACGAAAUCAAGGCCGGUCAACGAUCGCGUUCUACGCGACCUGGUAGCAUCAGGCGGAUUAAACGCGUCUCGUUCUCGAGAGAUAUUAAAAGCCGCGAUAAUAAAGCUAUAUCGCGUUGAUCUUAUCCUUUCCUCGUGUCGCGCGUUUUUAAUAAAAACUACCCCCUCCCCUCUCGCUUGUUAUCGUGAAUCCAAGCAGGACGUUCCAACGUUGCGCGCAAUUUUUGCGGAAAUGCGUCUUACUGAAAUUUUCAUGCAUACGUUAUUGUAAUGUCUAAUAAAACGCACGAUACCGCCACAGUUGAGGGUGGCGAAAGAUGGAGCGUGGAACGACGACGUGGCCGUUGCAAUUUUUGGAGAAAUAUCGUCGCGGCUCGCGUAAUUUGCGUCGAUGGGCCACAUCUGGCUAGCUGGGCGUGCGUUGUAUACCUCCGGAAUAAUAAAUUGGCUGGCGACCGUUCUGUGCCAGAAGCGACGCUUCUUCGAGGGAUGCUCGCGACGAGCUUAAAGCGGUAUUAUUGAAAUUGCGAUCUACCGCCGCGGAGCUUUUAAUAACCCCACGUGAUAUCGUCGGAUAUUUUGUCAGGAAAAUGGUAUAAACAGAGAAACAAGCGGUAUAAGCGGCGCAAACUUGCAUUUCAUUCCGUAAUGACUUUUGCAGUUACCGUGCCGCCACGUUCAACGGAGAAUCAUUUAAAUAAUAAAUUAAAAGCUUGUCACAUUUGUAUUUGGUAAAUUGAAACGAUCAAUUCGAUGGUAGCAGGAAACGAGCAGCUGGACGGCCGCAGGGGUUAGUCGAAUUAGUGGAAGGAGCGAAUCAAGCUCCUUUAAAUGAUUAAAGCGAGCCAGGGAGGCGCGGGGCGACGUGAUUCGAUGUUGGCGAUGCUCAUCGAUUCCGUCGUAUGAUCAAAGCGCGACCCGUGGAUUAAAUUUUUGAAUGGAUGGUAGUUACCGUUGCCGAGUGAAAUCAAAGAAACGAGAAAGGGAGAAUCAAAGGAUGGUACGCGUUAAGCUCAUUUCGUCACGUACCACUAAUCGCGUGAAAUAGUUCUACGAAGAAAUUUCCAGCCCUGACCGUAACAGACCGAGAGUCUCUCAAAGAGUAAUAAAAUUUUAUUGUCUGUUAAAAUUAGAACAGUCUCCUUUAUAUCGCGAAGUUACGAAUUAAAACAUCUAAUUGAGCCUAUUGACGCAGAGACGCCUGUCGUCAGAAUAAUAUUUUAUGUUUCUUAAAAAAUAUCCAGCCAAGUAGUAAGUAAGCUAAGUUGUAAUGAACUAUGAGACGAAUUUUAACGUUUCUGUCAACUAACGAGUUCCAAGUAUCUUGAGCAUAAACAUUGCGUUAACUGCGCCGUAUACACGCGCUCUAAAUAUAAUUAUACAAGCACAACUGUUAACCACUUAACGCGAGUAAAUUAAGACAGUUGCAGUUGCAACGGAAGAGACAAUUAAGAGAACAUUAGCCUCGUGUUGCAUAAUGUUGAUGAACCUUGGUUCGUCGAUAGACUGCUUUUAAAAACAGAGGAUCUCCACUUUCACGAGAUUUUACCGCAGAAAUUUCGUUCUGUUCGAGUGUCAUUAGCGGGAAGUGGCUUAGCCGCUCGUUCUCACCGCUAGAGUGGAUUUUGUAACUCGAGCUUGUCUACUUUUACGCGUGUCACCCUUUCCAGGGGAGGAGGAAGGGUCGAUCGUGUGUCAGCGUGUAGAUGCGCGUGCACACAGGGAAGAGCAGCAGAAGAAACACUCGCGAAAAAAGAGAGAAACGACAAGGAAAGGGGGUGAAAAACAGUGCAACAGGGGGGAGAAGGUUGGUCGUAACGACGAAUAGAAUAGACGUAUAAAAUGUCGCGAGGAAGGCGUGUUUGGUCUCCCGCAAUUUCCACGGGAUCGACGAACCCAGCCAGCCGGCUUAUUAACUUUUAUGAGGGAACACCAGGCGGACGAGUGAGAAAAGGACAGAAGGAACGCCACGGAGGGAAGCACCGCGUGGAAAAAGAAGCCACCGAGCGCCAUUUGCAGUUCGCGAAAAUACUCCGGCACCCUUUUCUCAAUGGAAUACACAGAGGAUUAUUAAUUUCUCUACGUUAGCUCGAUUCAGGCUACAGGUGCCCCUACAGGAUAUAUCAGAGAAAACAAUACGCUAAAUAUCGUAAUCGUUCUAGUCUCUCGACUAGAUGACUACGACUACGAGAUGAAAGAUGUUUGACAAAGCAGGUGCGAAAUGUAAGAAGAUAGGUCGAAACGCAUCGGGGAAAGGGAAUGAAAAUGCGCAGGAAUGAAUGAGAAAGGAAAGGCAAAGGGAAGUGCACGAAAAAGUUGCAAAGGAAAAAGUCUGAUGCCAUCGAGCUUUGUGUAACGCCGAACCUAUCCGUUGCGCAUCGACGUUUCCUCCUCAUGAGAAAAUGACCACAAAAAGGUCGGGAAAGAGACAAACGGGGGGAAAAAAGGACAAAAAAUAGGAAGAAAAGAACGGAAGAAAGGAUAAAGAAUGGGACGAAGGAACGAUGGGGUUCAGCCAAUUACCUACAUCCUCUGGCAAACCAUUGGCAUGGUUGGUCCAAACCAUUUGAGAGGUUGCAAUUUUCUCUAUUCUUGUACCGACGACCACAACGAACGCCACUGGCCAUCACGAGUUUCUAGAAAAUUUGUACGUCACGGGAACAAACUGAAUCGAGAGGUUUAUCGCGUUUUGGCUCGUGUAACAGGACAGAGCGGUAGGCAUCAAUUUCGAGGCACACUCCACGACGGAUAUUCGCGGCACGGUAUCGUUUAUUUUGAUUUGCUGGAUUCGUUAUCGACUGCCCCCGUUUGCGACGAGGGUGCUCAGUGCUUGGGAUUAAGAGAUUUCGAUGGGGAAUUUAUGGCGCGGGCUUCUUCGCUGCUGGGACUUCAUAAAUACAACGUUAGGUAGUUCGGAACACAACCCUGUUUCGCGGAUCGGACAUUCGUUUCGCUGUCGUUAGUUCCAGUUCUUUUCUUAGUCGGAGUAAGUGGUGUAAAAUAUUUUCUCGUUACUUUAAUGUCUUUGUAUUUUGUAGUGGUUUAUCGGUAGCAGAGGAGAAAUCGAUAGAAUCGCUCUUCCAAAUCAUUGAGAUGAUAAAAGCCGUUUCGAUACGCGAAUUUCGAGAUUCGGGGAAUAUUAUGUCGAGCUUGCGAGUCUUUGGCCUGGUUCUGGAUAUAUGUCUCGCGUGUGAUUUUGUGUCACCACGGGCGUCAGCGAAUUUUGAGUUCUCUGUGGAAUAUGUAGGAGUCGGUUGGCGUGCAGCGCGCGUUCCUUGUCAACGAUCCAGAUAAUCGCAAAUAUUCCACCGACACGACGUUAUUUUUUGCUCUUGAAACCGAAGAAAAUUAGAAAUUGAAACCGAGUUCGUUGAUCUCGUCGAAUCGCUCGUAACAAAACAGAAUUAUGCCAGAGGCGUGAAAUUACAUUGAGCACCCAGCAUUAUGAAACGGUGGCUCGUGUGAACGGAGCUUAAUGUAAAAUAAACGAAAUAGCUCGCGAGGUCGAAAGAUAUCCGGCAAUUUAAAUUGUUUUCCCGAAUUGUUGCAACGUUACGAUGGAUUUUUCCAAGUCGCGAGUUUACUAUGGUUAUACAAACAUUCGAUCGAUUAUCGGCAAACUGUGUAGCAUCCAAGAUGUUUAUUUUACAUUGCUACUAGGAUGGAACAAAGAAAGCGGAAAGUGGAACGACAAAUGGAAAAUUAAAGAAAGCGAGUCACCGGAACGAUAAGGCCCGAAGGGAGGGUG